GGGACCUUAGCUCAGCUGGGAGAGCGCCCGCCUCACACGCGGGAGGUCGUCGGUUCAAGCCCGGCAGGUCCCACCA
rnacentral:tRNA from 1 species